rnacentral:rRNA from 1 species
CCUACGGGAGGCAGCAGUGGGGAAUAUUGGUCAAUGGGCGCAAGCCUGACCCAGCAACGCCGCGUGAAGGAAGAAGGCUUUCGGGUUGUAAACUUCUUUUCUCAGGGACGAAGCAAGUGACGGUACCUGAGGAAUAAGCCACGGCUAACUACGUGCCAGCAGCCGCGGUAAUACGUAGGUGGCAAGCGUUAUCCGGAGUUACUGGGUUUAAAGGGCGUGUAGGCGGGACUGCAAGUCAGAUGUGAAAACCACGGGCUCAACCUGUGGACUGCAGUUGAAACUGUAGUUCUUGAGUACUGGAGAGGCAGACGGAAUGCCUGGUGUAGCGGUGAAAUGCGUAGAUAUUAGGAGGAACACCAGUGGCGAAGGCGGUCUGCUGAACAGCAACUGACGCUGAGGCGCGAAAGCGUGGGGAGCAAACAGGAUUAGAUACCCCUGUAGUC